rnacentral:sRNA from 1 species
UUUAAUUAUUAAUCCUACUGAUUAUAUAAUAUUUAUUUUGAAUGAUUACGACAAUGAAUUCUUUUGUGUUGUUAGCUUUCUUUUCCAUUUUAAUUUUAGGUGACCAACCUUCUACUGCAAAACAAAAUGCACGUUUCUAAACCAAAUCCAUGAUUUGAUGUGGUAUCUAUUGAUGAUUAUGGCUUGGGAACUAAAUUUUGUAAACAAGGCCUGAUCAGGCUCACUUAUUUUAAUUAUCUGGUCAGAUACUUACAAUUGCUAGAACAUUAUAGGACUAAUUUCAACCUUUAAUUUUAGGUGCUCUAAAAUAGAUCUAAAAUCUAAAAAUAGAUCAAGGAAUCAUAUGACACUGCAGCCUAAUAUACAAGGACUGCCUAAUGAAUAGAGCAAAGACUAAGUAGUCUUUCCAUGAUAUAAAAUUAAAAAACUAAUUAUACAAGAUAAAACCAAAUAAUAAAGCUACUCUUUCCUUACCACUUAGUAAGACUUUGAGAAGUAAAAAAGAAAAGCAUUACCCAAGUAAGCAUAGCACUUAGUUUCUGUUUCAGGAAUUCUCAGGUACAAAGAGAGGCAUAGAAUCUCCGAAGAAUCACAUUUAUUUAUAUUUUAUGUUUUUCAAACUGUAGGUGAUAUGUCAUCAAUAAACAAUACUUUGAAUAACCAUCAACUGACUCAUCUACAGUCGCUGUUAAACAACAAUCAGAUGUUUCCUCCAAAUCAGCAACAGCAGCAACUUCUCCAGGGGUACCAGAAUCUCCAGGCGUUCCAAGGACAGUCCACAAUUCCUUGCCCAGCUAACAAUAACCCCAUGGCUUGUCUGUUUCAGAACUUUCAGGUGAGAAUGCAGGAAGAUGCAGCUCUCCUAAACAAAAGAAUAAGCACUCAGCCUGGGCUCACAGCACUUCCUGAGAAUCCAAACACUACACUUCCACCUUUUGAAGAUACACCUUGUGAGUUGCAACCGAGGAUUGACCCAUCUCUUGGUCAACAGGUGAAGGAUGGCCUCGUUGUGGGUGGCCCAGGUGAUGCUUCCGUAGAUGCCAUUUACAAAGCAGUUGUCGAUGCAGCCAGCAAAGGAAUGCAGGUUGUCAUCACCACUGCAGUCAACAGUACAACUCAGAUCAGCCCCAUUCCAGCUCUGAGUGCCAUGAGUGCCUUCACUGCCUCAAUUGGUGACCCAUUAAAUCUCUCCAGUGCUGUCAGUGCGGUCAUUCAUGGACGGAACAUGGGAGGUGUUGAUCAUGAUGGUAGGCUGAGGAAUUCAAGAGGGGCUCGGCUGCCCAAGAAUCUAGACCAUGGGAAAAAUGUGAACGAAGGAGAUGGGUUUGAAUAUUUCAAGUCAGCAAGUUGCCACACAUCCAAAAAACAGUGGGACGGGGAGCAAAGCCCCAGAGGGGAGCGAAACAGGUGGAAGUACGAGGAAUUUUUAGAUCAUCCAGGCCAUAUCCACAGUAGUCCUUGUCAUGAAAGGUCCAACAAUGUCUCUACACUGCCAUUUCUGCCUGGGGAACAGCACCCAAUACUGUUACCACCAAGAAACUGUCCAGGGGAUAAAAUUCUAGAGGAAAAUUUCAGGUAUAAUAACUACAAAAGAACUAUGAUGAGUUUUAAGGAGAGACUAGAGAACACUGUGGAAAGAUGUGCACACAUUAAUGGGAAUAGACCUCGACAGAGUCGGGGAUUUGGAGAGCUGCUAAGCACUGCAAAGCAAGACCUGGUCCUAGAGGAGCAGUCUCCAAGUUCCUCAAAUAGUUUGGAAAAUUCUCUGGUCAAAGACUACAUCCAUUACAAUGGAGACUUUAAUGCCAAAAGCGUUAAUGGGUGUGUGCCUAGCCCUUCAGAUGCUAAAAGCAUUAGUAGUGAAGAUGACCUAAGGAAUCCAGACUCCCCCUCUUCAAAUGAAUUGAUACAUUAUAGACCAAGGACGUUCAAUGUUGGCGACUUGGUCUGGGGCCAAAUCAAAGGACUGACUUCCUGGCCUGGAAAAUUAGUAAGAGAAGACGACGUUCACAAUUCAUGUCAACAAAGCCCCGAGGAAGGGAAGGUGGAGCCCGAGAAGUUGAAGACACUAACAGAAGGUUUGGAAGCCUACAGCCGUGUCCGGAAAAGGAACAGAAAAAGUGGAAAGCUAAAUAACCAUUUAGAAGCUGCUAUUCAUGAGGCCAUGAGUGAACUGGACAAAAUGUCUGGGACUGUACACCAAAUCCCACAGGGUGACAGACAAAUGAGACCCCCCAAACCCAAGAGGAGGAAGAUCUCCAGAUAACAGAGACUACUCCACUAAUGCACAGUGUUUAUUAAAGGAACAUGCACAGAUGUAUCUGUAUAUAGGUAUUGAUAUAGCCACAGUUAUAUCAAUAUUUAGACUAUGGCAGAUAGCUACCACCACCACAGGGUGCUAAAAGAAACAGUGAUACAAAAUUUUUUUGAUCAGGAAGGAUAAUGAAUGCUGGAAAAGCCAAUCAAAAUCUCUGUGUGAUGAGAGUGAUCAAUGGUCAAGAGAUUACUGAGAAACUCUUUUUCUAUAAUAUUAAAUUGUGAUUAUAAGAAAUAGUCCAAAUGUUUCUGAAGAAUUUUCAAUGUUGUAUAUAGAAAAUACAGAAUUUCAUGGUGAUAUCAGAAAUGUAAAUAUUGUACAAUAUUGUCAUGUACAAGCGUACCUAAUGCACACUUUAUCUUUUAUUGUACAAAGAAAUAGUGUACAAAAUUCUUUGGUUUCUAUGGAGUACACCUACCAGAGACUACCAGUGUAAAGUGAUAAAUAAAAAUACAACCUAAAUGCUUUUCU